rnacentral:rRNA from 1 species
UACAGAGGUGGCAAGCGUUGUUCGGAAUUACUGGGCGUAAAGGGCGCGUAGGCGGCUUGGUCAGUCCCGUGUGAAAUCCCUCGGCUCAACUGAGGAACUGCACGGGAAACUGCCUGGCUUGAGUUCGGGAGAGGGAAGCGGAAUUCCGGGUGUAGCGGUGAAAUGCGUAGAUAUCGAGAGGAACACCUGCGGCGAAGGCGGGUUGCUGGGCCGACACUGACGCUGAUGCGCGAAAGCCAGGGGAGCGAACGGG